rnacentral:rRNA from 1 species
UACGGAAGGCAGCAGUGGGGAAUAUUGCACAAUGGGCGCAAGCCUGAUGCAGCCAUGCCGCGUGUAUGAAGAAGGCCUUCGGGUUGUAAAGUACUUUCAGUCGUGAGGAAGGUGUUAAGGUUAAUAACCUUAGCAAUUGACGUUAGCGACAGAAGAAGCACCGGCUAACUCCGUGCCAGCAGCCGCGGUAAUACGGAGGGUGCGAGCGUUAAUCGGAAUUACUGGGCGUAAAGGGCACGCAGGCGGUUAAUUAAGUUGGAUGUGAAAUCCCCGGGCUUAACCUGGGAAUGGCAUUCAAGACUGGUUAGCUAGAGUCUUGUAGAGGGGGUAGAAUUCCAUGUGUAGCGGUGAAAUGCGUAGAGAUGUGGAGGAAUACCGGUGGCGAAGGCGGCCUCCUGGGACAAAGACUGACGCUCAUGUGCGAAAGCGUGGGGAGCAAACAGGAUUAGAUACC